CGGAUCACCUGAGGUCAGGAGUUAGAGACCAACCUUGUCAACAUGACGAAACCCUGUCUCUAAUAAAAACACAGAAUUAGCCAGGUGUGGUGGCAGGAGCCUGUAAUCCCAGCUACUCAGGAGGCUGAGGCAGGAGAAUCGCUUGAAAUGGGGAGGUGGAGGUUGCAGUGAGCCAAGAUCAUGCCACUGCACUCCAGCCUGGGUGACAGAGUGAGACUCUGUCUAAAAAAUAAAAAAUAAAAAAAAGGUGAAGUAUUUUAAGUGCUUACCUGGCACACAAAUUUUGGUUUCCUUAGCCUUCCUCUUCUGGGAUGUAAAUGUGGCAGCAUCAGCAUGAACUGGUUCUUUUCUUCCCUCUGGUCCAACAGCAUCCUCAUUCUCUUUCUGAGAGUAAGGCAAGAUGUGAGGUCUGUACAGGAUGUGAGGUGUGAAUCUCUUUGCCAAGUAUGUAAUCAUGUUGUCUUGGUUAAUCCUGACUUCAGUUGAAGAACGAGAGGCAAUGAGUACUUCCUGAUUUUCCAGAAAAGUAACUCCUCGGACCUGUUCUAUUCCUACCGUCCCCAAAAAAUUGAUCACUUGGCGGAUGCUUCCGGAUGAACUACUCCUCCAACUCUGGGACUUUACAUUCUCCGCUUUUCAAUCACUGUUUUGCUAAAAUUUCAUAUAAGCGUUGACUAAGAUGUUGAGGUCAAGAUGAUUUAAAAGAAAAAAACAGGCUGGUGCAGUGGCUUACCCCUGUAAUCCCAGCACUUUGGGAGGCUAAGGCGGGAGGAUCACUUGAGGUCAGGAGUUUGAGACCAGCUGGGCCAGCAUGGUGAAACCCCAUCUCUAUUAAAAAUACAAAAACUAACUGGGCAUAGUAGUGGGCUCCUGUAGUCCCAGCGACUCAAGAGACUGAGGCAUGAAAAUCACUUGAACCUGGGAGGUGGGGGUUGCGGUGACCCAGGAUCACCCCACUUGCACUCCAGCCUGGGAGACGGAGUGAGACCCUGUCUCGAAAAAAAAAAAAAAAAAAAAAAAAGAUUCCCCAUUGAGACAUUGAGACAUAUGAAAAACUAACACACAAUUUAUCUGGGUUACUAUCAUCUUUGUUAGCACAUAAGCUAGGCAGAUAUAUAAGAUGUAUCUCAAUUCUACAAUUACAUCAUUGGGGGAAAAUCUAAACAUUUUUCAUGGCACAUAAAUUGAAAGUGAUUUCAAAAUAGUUUUGUCAGGGAAAACAUUACUUCUGGUUUACUUACAUAUAUUUUACUGUGUAUUAAAAUCUGGUAGAACCCCCUUUUCACUUUGCCAAUUGGACUUAUGUCUUUAUUGAUCAUUCAAGUGAGCAAAGGAAAUACGCUUUAAAAACUCAGGCAAACGGUGUUUGUCUUGUAUCCCGUCAGAGGAAACAAAUUGAAGUAGGAAAAAAAAAGCCUGGUAGAAAAUUAUUAACUCUAAAUGUGGAAUAAUAUUGAAUUAACUGAGAAAAUAUAUAUAUAUAAUCAGCUAAAGGAAAUAUUUUGCUAUGAAUGAUUAAUGUUCCUUAGCAAAGUUAGAGGAAUCAUAAAUCUAAAUCUAAUACUUUUAAGAAUUAAUCUCACUUUAUCUCUAAUAAGCUUUGUGGUCUGUGCCUUAUUAUUAUGUUUUGUUAUUUGUUAGUUAUUAUUAGUUAUUAUUUUGUUACUAGUUGACACAUAAUAAUGAUAUAUAUUUAUGGGGUAUAGUUUGAUGUUUCAAUAUAUAUAUGCAUUGUGUAAAAAUUAAAUCAGGGUAUUUACCAUGUCGAUCACCUCAUACAUUUAUCAUUUCU
rnacentral:lncRNA from 10 species